rnacentral:rRNA from 1 species
AGAGUUUGAUCCUGGCUCAGAAUAAACGCUGGCGGCGUGCUUAACACAUGCAAGUCGAACGAGAAAGGUCUUCGGACUGAGUAAAGUGGCGAACGGGUGAGUAACGCGUGAGAAUCUACCCCUUAGUGAAGAAUACCUUCGAGAAAUCGAAGUUAAUGCUGCAUAAGCUCCUUAAUUGGAGGAAAGAUGGCCUCUUUGCUGUCGCUAAGGGAUGAGCUUGCGUACUAUUAGCUAGUUGGUAGGGUAAAGGCCUACCAAGGCGAGGAUGGUUAGCCGGCCUGAGAGGGUGUACGGCCACAUUGGAACUUAGACACGGUCCAGACUCCUACGGGAGGCAGCAGUGAGGAAUAUUGCGCAAUGGGCGAAAGCCUGACGCAGCGACGCCGCGUGGAGGAUGAAGGCCUUCGGGUUGUAAACUUCUGUUGAACGGGAAAAAAUGCACAAGUUUAAUAGACUUGUGAGAUGAUUGUACUGUUAAAGAAAGCACCGGCUAACUUCGUGCCAGCAGCCGCGGUAAUACGAAGGGUGCGAGCGUUAUUCGGAAUCAUUGGGCGUAAAGGGUGCGCAGGCGGUGCAUUAAGUCAACUGUUUAAUUCUUCGGCUUAACCGAAGGUCAGCGGUAGAUACUGGUGCACUAGAGUGUGGAAGAGAGAAGUGGAAUUCUCGGAGUAGCGGUAAAAUGCGUAGAUCUCGAGAGGAACACCGAUGGCGAAAGCAGCUUCUUGGUCCAUUACUGACGCUCAUGCACGAAAGCGUGGGGAGCAAACAGGAUUAGAUACCCUGGUAGUCC